rnacentral:rRNA from 1 species
UACGUAGGGUGCGAGCGUUGCCCGGAUUUAUUGGGCGUAAAGGGCGCGUAGGCGGCUCGGCACGUCCGUUGUGAAAUCGCCCGGCUCAACUGGGCGGGGUCAGCGGAUACGGUCGAGCUUGAGCAAGCUAGGGGGCAAUGGAAUUCCCGGUGUAGUGGUGGAAUGCGUAGAUAUCGGGAGGAACACCAGUGGCGAAGGCGGGUCUCUGGACAGUUCCUGACGCUGAGGCACGAAGGUCAGGGGAGCAAACGGG